ACUUCACCUCAUUUGUUGGUGAAUUGUUGGUUAAGUUGGAUUCACCUGGUUCUGUCAAUAUAAAGCAAACCAGUUUUAAGCAAGUCAGCUGAAGAUCCAGAAGCCAGAGACACAUGCCUCGGUGGCUGAUUUUAACAGAAUGUAUUGCCAAAUGGAGAUUCCUUUGGGGACAAAAUGAUGAAAACCUAUACCACCAAAGCAGACUGGAGUACAUCUAGACAGGAUGUCACUAAGAAAUGGAACCUGGAAGACUUCUUUUUGAAUGCAUGAUUUCUGUUUCAAAAGACACAAGGAUAUGGGGCAGUGGUUUCUUGUGACUUAAGCUCAUCAGCAGAGGCUCUGAGUGGAGCUAGUGGAUUUGGCCCUCUUUGCUGAGCUGUUGGGGAGAUCCUCCCACAAAAUCAUAUUUCUUUUGGCUUCAGAG